GGAGAAGUCAAUGCAAAAUUCGGAUGUCUUCCACCUCUACUUAUGUGACUGCAGAGAGGAGGACAGAGAACAGUGGACACACAGUUUAACAUGAUGGACUAUAGGACAGGACUGCUGCUUUUAACUGUCUGCUGGGCAGGUGUUGAUGGUCAGACUCUGACAGAAUCUGAACCAGUGGUUAAAAGGCCUGGAGAAUCUCACAGAUUGACCUGUACAGCCUCUGGUUUCACACUCAGUCACUACGAGAUGAACUGGGUCAGACAGGCUCCUGGAAAAGGACUGGAGUGGGUUGCCUGGAUUGACACUGGUGGUGGCAGCACUCACUACUCUCAGUCAGUCCAAGGCCGGUUUACCAUCUCCAGAGACAACAGCAGAAAGCAGGUGUAUCUGCAGAUGAACAGUCUGAAGACUGAAGAUUUGGUUGAGCAGCUGCACAAAAUCCUACAGGACUCGUUUUUUCUGGACAGAAUUAGAUUAUCCUUAUCUUUUGUUGUUCUUGUAAAAUACCAUGAAUGCCCACAGUGACACAAGGAACAACACUGGACAUCAUGUCAAAACAAGUCCAAACUUUACUUUCUGAUUUUUCCUUUCACAGAAUUAUUAAAUGUGAUAAACACAUUCAGAGAAAAAUCAAGUCAAUUAAACUGCUUCGUUCAGACAAACUUUUUUGCAGCUCUGUUGUUCUCCGGGAGAUUGAGAACAUUAAAUAUCUUGUUAA